CGUAGGGGGCAAGCGUUGUCCGGAUUUAUUGGGCGUAAAGCGCACGCAGGUGGUCCGAUGCGUCGUGCGUGAAAGACCCUGGCUCAACUGGGGGGUGUCGUGCGAUACGGUCGGACUGGAGGCCAGUAGGGGGAUGCGGAAUUCCGGGUGUAGUGGUGGAAUGCGUAGAGAUCCGGAGGAACACCAGCGGCGAAGGCGGCAUCCUGGACUGGUCCUGACACUCAUGAGCGAAAGCGUGGGGAGCGAUCCGGAUUAGAUACCCGGGGUAGUCCACGCUGUAAACGAUGCGUACUAGGUGUCGGGGGGUAUCGACCCCCCUCGGUGCCGCAGCUAACGCGAUAAGUACGCCGCCUGGGGACUACGGCCGCAAGGCUAA
rnacentral:rRNA from 1 species